AGUGAACGCUGGCGGUAGGCCUAACACAUGCAAGUCGAACGGCAGCACAGUAAGAGCUUGCUCUUACGGGUGGCGAGUGGCGGACGGGUGAGGAAUACAUCGGAAUCUACUUUUUCGUGGGGGAUAACGUAGGGAAACUUACGCUCAUACCGCAUACGACCUACGGGUGAAAGCAGGGGAUCUUCGGACCUUGCGCGAGUGAAUGAGCCGAUGUCGGAUUAGCUAGUUGGCGGGGUAAAGGCCCACCAAGGCGACGAUCCGUAGCUGGUCUGAGAGGAUGAGCAGCCACACUGGAACUGAGACACGGUCCAGACUCCUACGGGAGGGAGCAGUGGGGAAUAUUGGACAAUGGGCGCAAGCCUGAUCCAGCCAUACCGCGUGGGUGAAGAAGGCGUUCGGGUUGUAAAGCCCUUUUGUUGGGAAAGAAAAGCAGCAGGUUAAUACCCCGCUGUUCUGACGGUACCCAAAGAAUAAGCACCGGCUAACUUCGUG
rnacentral:rRNA from 1 species